CGCCUUGUGACAAAAUAUACAAGGUCCAGCCUGCCCAGUGAUUUAUUUAACGGCCGCGGUACCCUAACCGUGCGAAGGUAGCACAAUCACUUGUUCCUUAAAUAGGGACUAGUAUGAAUGGCAUCACGAGGGUUAUUCUGUCUCCCCCUUUUAAUCAGUGAAACUGAUCUCCCCGUGAAGAAGCGGGGAUAUCAAUAUAAGACGAGAAGACCCCAUGGAGCUUUAAACUCAGAAACACCAGCUAUUUUUAAACCAAACCAAUACGCCUCCCUGAUUUCUAGUUUUCGGUUGGGGUGACCACGGAGUACAACACAACCUCCUUGAUGAAAGGAACUAUUUCCUUAUUUAAGAACUACAGUUCUAAAAAUCAAUACAUUGACAAAAAUUGAUCCAAAUUAUUUUGAUCAACGAACCAAGUUACCCUGGGGAUAACAGCGCAAUCCAUUUCAAGAGCUCAUAUCGACAAAUGGGUUUACGACCUCGAUGUUGGAUCAGGGUAUCCCAGUGGUGCAGCCGCUACUAAAGGUUCGUUUGUUCAACGAUUAAAACCCUACG
rnacentral:rRNA from 1 species